rnacentral:rRNA from 1 species
GCUUAGCCCUAAACCUCAGUAGUUAAACCAACAAAACUACUCGCCAGAAUACUACAAGCAACCGCUUGAAACUCAAAGGACUUGGCGGUGCUUCACACCCUCC